GACUGGGCAGAAACUAGCAGAGAAGCGGUUACCGACCGAACCGCACCGGAAAAUCCGGUUCGGUUACCGAACCGGUUCAAAACGACGUCGUUUUUGAAGAGAACCGCACCGAACCGCUUACAUGCGGUGCGGGUGCGGUUUACGACUUCGAACCGCCUGCAUUUACCGAACCGAACCGAUAUAUAUUUAUAUAAUUAUUUUGAUGCAAAUAGUUUAUAUUAUUUGGUACUAACCCUAGCUUUGUGCGUUCUCUUCUCUCUCCAUCUCUCAGCCGCUUCCUUCAUUUUUGCGUUUUUGCUUUGUUCUCUUCUCUCUCCAUCUCCAUCUCUCGGCCGCUCCCAGUUUCUCUCAUCUCUCACACGACGGCAGCUCCCAGUUUCCCUCAUCUCUCACACGACAGCAGCUCCCAGUUUCUCUCAUCUCUCACACAAUAGCAGCUUGGUGCAAGCUUCUUCGAGUUCACACGACAGCAGCUGUCGGUGCUUCUCACUGGGUGAAGCCAAUCACCGAUUAUGGAAGGGAUUUCCGCAACCCCGGCUUCUACACCAGCUGGAACUGCAGACUCUAGCAUAGGGACGACCCCCACCCCGAGUCCGAGUGCUGCAGUUGUUCAAAGUUUUUAAAUUUCCAGGUAUUGGUUACAUGUUUUAAUAUGCGGUUUUGGGUGCAAACCGAACCGUACCGGACCGAUAAAACGGUGCAACCGAAAAUGCAGUCCAAACAAUAUAAAUGCAGUUGCGGUUUGUAAAAUGGACCUACCGAAUAAUGCGGUGUGGUUGCGGUUUCAGGUCCAAACGGACCCGAACCGCACCGCGCCCA